CUACACUGAGCGGCUGGAGCCCCCCCUCCCCCCCCCCCCGAAAACACAAAGGUCAGUGCGGAAGGGCAGGGUGAACCCUCCCUCCACCUCCCUUCUCGCCCCGGCCUCCCUUUUCCCUUUUUUUCUUUUUUAGCGAUACAUUCUUCAGCCCAAACAACAUUCUUGAAUCGAGAUUUGAGGCAAUCCGGAGGGAGUUGGUCACUUGGAGACGGCGGGACUGCUGAGCGAGCCCGGGGGGACUCUGCUGGAACCCCUGAGUGGGGCGCGGGCUGUUGGGGCGAUGCUCACGCCGCGGCUCCCGUGUGUCAGCGCCGUCCGAUGCUCCCGGGGCUCCCGGGGUCACCCAAUUUCCACGGGAGGUGCUUCAACGCUUCCUUUGCCUGCAGCCAGCUGCAAGGGCUCAGCCCAGGCUCUCCCUGGCGAGAAAGGGGAUGACAGGCAGCCCUCGGCUGGGAAUCCUCGCCCUCCGCCCGUUCCCCUCCUCUUCCUCCCGUGGGAUACCCAGCGUCGUGGAAUCGGUGGCCGGCUGCAGCCCCCCUCGCUCGCAUCCCAUGCCCCAGCCCCAGAUGCUCCGUGCCAUGGGGCUCCAAAAAAAUGCCUGCACCAAAAAUAAGGGGGUUGCCAGCUGCCGGCCCCCAUCCAUGCCCCCUUGCUGCUGCUCUGUCCCCUGUCCUGGGCACACUACGUGUACCCAGUGCCACCCCCAAGUGCCACCUGCCUUUGCACUGGGCAGAGCAGCCCUGCAGCCCCCGUCCUCGCUUGUCCAUCCCAUCGUGGUCCGGCAGUGGCUUCCAGGUCUCCUGGGGGGGUGGCGGUGGGGGUCAGAGGAGGAAAGCAGACCCCAAACUGCCCCUUACCCACCCCAACUGCUGGCUUGGCACGGCUGCCGGCACUGGGAAAUACUGAUUUGGCUGGGGAAGCCUUUGCCCCAUCCCACUGUAAUUACAGGCUGCCUUUGGGGCUCUGGAGUCUCAUGUAAUAGCUCCCCGGUCUCUCAGGGCCUGCGGGUUAUUAUGGGGUGGACUCAAGCAUCCCAGCACCCACACCCAGGAAUGUCCCUGCAGCCUAUUCCACAGCUCCCAGUCCCACAGACGUGGCUCUGGAUACCCAGUGUCUCAGUGUGUGUGCUCUCAUCACCCUCCCUGCAAGCUCAAGAUGCUGGAUUUCUGAAAUCUCCAUCCACGGGCUCCAGUGCCUCCCCCCUCGCAGCGUGGCUGGUACCCUGGGCUGGGCCGGGAGAAGAUGUCUCAGCACAAAGAGGGUCAGAGCUUAUUACAACCACUGUAAAAUGUGUUUAAAAAGGUUAAGUGCUUAAUUUGGAACAGAGCUGGAAACUAUGAAGCGUUUCCUCAUCCCGUCGCUCCCUCGCCUGUCCCUGGAUGUGUGCUUUACACUGCUAACAUCUCCACGGCUAACGGAGGCUGGUUACAAGCACGCAGUGAAAUACAUUUGAGAGCCUCUGGGUUUUGCAGGGGAGCCAGGAGACCAGUUCACGCAAAAUUAGCCAAGUGCAAAUCCACUCGGGAGGCCAGCGAGGGAGCUGCCAGCUGCAAAGAUCACCAAGUCCCAUCAGGUGUCACAGGCUCUUCUGCUGCCGUGAUUUAUUGCCUGUGCCCAGGCUUUUGACGCAGAUGUUUGCCCACGGCUGCGUGGGCAUCAUUCAGUUCUGCUUGUGGCUAUCACGUGGUGUCGGGACCAAACCCGGCAGGAUUCUGACAUCUUCCCAGCCCCAUCUGUGGGACUGCUGUACCCUGAUCUGCAUCAGCCUGGCACAGGACCUGCCCCUGCCCCCCAGGGUGAUGGAUGUCCAAACCCAGAGCCCCUGUGCUCACCACCACGGGACGGAGAAGCUCCAUUGGGACGUGGCAGCAGCUCUCUGCCCCUUGCUGGAUCUUAGGAGGGGACAGGGGCAUGGGAAGCCCCAGGACAUUUGCUGGUGGUGAUUGCUCUGUGCUUUGUGGCUGAGCAAGGUGUCCCGUCGGGACCAAGCUGCCUCUCCCCUUCUGUCCCCACCAUGGCAUCAAGGUAGCUCUGAAGGCUGCCAGGCACUGGCUGCAGCUGUCCAAGGAGCAAAAGGCGAAAAAUGCAGCAAUUCCUUGCUCAGAGCCUUCAAUUCACAUUUUCAAAGGCCCUUUGAACGCUUGGCUCCUCUCCGAAGCCUCCCAGCUCUCCUGAACAAACAGCAGGAGGGAACAGGUUCAUUCCAGCCCAUUGACUGAGGCUCCUGGAUGGGGAAAAUCUCAUGUCAUGUUUCCUACAAGCAGGGAGCUUCAGAGCCCUCUUGCAGAGCGCUGAGCCCAAGGGUCCCAUCUCUGCCUGUCCCCAAACCUGUCCCCAACCCCCUUCCCCAGCCCCAAGCCUCUCCUCUGCAGCUUGGAGGGUUCCUCCCCCAAGGCGUGCUUGGUACCCAAACCUCUCCGCAAACAGAUUUGCAGACACACUGGGAGCCAAAUAUAAACCUGUGUAGAGAUUAAUAAAUUAUAACCAGCAGUCUGAGCUGCACCAGGCAGCGAACAGGGAGGGGGUCCUGGCACACAGAAUCAAGCUGCUGGGGGUCCCUCCUGGCUCAGCAGGGACCAUCAGAGCGGAGCAGGGUGAAUAUCCCUGUCCCAGGGUGCCUUUAAAACCACACGUCUAUCAUCACUAUUAAAUGAUGCUGAUGGUCUUAAAAUACACAGCCUCCCAAAUCUACUCCCGUUAGUGAAAUGCAGCCAGUCCUGGGGUGGGGGUGGCAGAGCUGGUGGGCAGGGGGGGAAGGCAGGGCCUGAUCCUGUCCCGCUGUGCCCUCUGCAGCCAGGCGCAUCCUCACAGCCCUGUGAUGAGCCCCCCAGCCUGGCCAUCCCAUGGCACGCUCAGCCCUUCCCCAGUGCCUCGUGGGUCCCUCCAGAUUCCCAGGUACCCCCAGCUCUGGGAAGGUCAUGGCACUGAGCUCCCUGUCCAAAUGGUGCGCGGGCUGUUUUUCUCUCUAAAGCAUCUGAAAUAUGAAAAAAAAAAAAAAAGAAAAAAGAAAAAAAAAAGAAAGAAAAAAAAGAAAAGCGAAACAUCAGCUGCCUGGGAAACCCAUUAGCGUUCCUGCCUGCUCCUGCCACCUGGCUUCCUGCGCUAGCAAACAAAUCAAGUUGUCCUGGUGCUCAAAGCCUCUUUGCCCUGGCAUUGCUUCUCCCAGAGCAGAGCUGCGCCCUGCCAGGGGUCACUGCAGCGAGCCCCUGCCCUCCCCUGCCCUGGCUCCCAUCACCGCGCUCCAAGCCUUCUGCCGAGCUGCAAACACUCCUCCAGAUUAAGGGCAGGCAUGGCUUUCUUUUUUAUAAAAGAAAAAAAAAAAAGGCAAAAAAAAAGCUUUGGAGAUAAACAGGAGCAAGAAGCAGGGCGUGGGCGUUCACUGCUUUCACUUGCUGUUCAGCUGAAUUGAGUUGUUUGGGGGAAACUUGGGGUCCUGGCAGCACCUUUGCAAUUUAUGGGAAUAAAAAGAGCAUUUAGAAGGAGGUGGCGUUGGAGGGAGAGGACCAACCCCCUGGGUUUGGGGUGGCAGUGCCCCUCUCUCCAUGCCCUGGGUGCUGGGGCACAUCCCUGGUCACCUCUGCCCCAGAGGGUGGGCGCUGGGAUGUGGAUAAUCUGGGCAUGGUGCUACGGCCCCAUGGAGUGGGACAGGCAGGGGCCAAGGUGGCGAGGGGCUGCGGGGGUUCCGUGGGCAGAUGCGGCAGAGUUGGGGGUGGGCUGGGUGCUGCAGAGCUCAUGCGGGUGCUGUCAGCCCGUGAGCAAUAAUUAGCAAUGAUCAAAGCGGCUUCUUCCCGACAGCCCUGAAUACGGAUGCUUGGAAAUCUCGGCGAGCGUUCUGGCUGCUGGCAGGGAGAAAACAACACCCGCUCCUGUCUGUGGGCAAGUGCCUGGUGCAGGCAGGUAUCUGCUGGGGCUGAGCUGCCCCCAGCACCCCCAGAAGCAGUGGGGUGACUUCUGGGGGGCUGGGGGUGAGUGUUGCCAUGGGCAGAGCUGUGCGCGGGCCACCGGUGUGCAGAGCAUGGGGGAGCUCUGCGUCCAGCCUGGCAGCCACCAGGUCUCCAUCACUGCAUCUCUGCAAGUCGAGAAGAGAGAGUGAAGGCAGACAGGGAGUCUGGCAGCUCCUCGGGGACAGGAGCAGGCUGAGAAGUGUGAUGGUGCAGCUGCUGAGCCACCCCAGCCUGAGAUUCGACCCCUCCUGCACCCAGCUGGGGCUGUCCCCACAGCUGGGGCACCCGUGUCCCUGCCGCAGGCUCUCACCCGGGUUAUCCCAGCGGGAUGUGUCACUGCCCGGAGCUGGCACGAACCCCCUGUGCUCAUGUCAGGGGCUGGCAGACCUCUGCUCCCGUGCCCUGCUGCGUUCCCCUCCUCGGCGGUGCCGGCAGCGGGAGGGCUGGAUGAGAUGUGCCCCAGCCGCGCUACAUGUGGUUUGAUAAAUUCUUGCUUUGUUUUCCUUCGUUUUUCCGCUGGCCGUCUCUGAGGACAGUGUGUGAGGGCUGAUCGCAGCAGGGACGGCUGCCAGCUGCCUCCACUCCAUCGUCCCCAGCGGAGGCACCAGUGGCUUCUCCUCCUGCCCUCGGGGCGCCUGUUUGCCCUGGGAAAAGCUGGUUACUGGACCCAGCACCUCUCCCCUGCGGAGGCUCCGGGGGUGUCCGGGGGUUUCAGCUCUGCAGAAACAAGCAGGAAUCCGUGGCAAAUGCCUGCCCAGUGCUCCUGGCCUCCUCCCAGCCUCAGCCCACCGAGCAGAGGCAUCUGGAAAAGCCCCGUCCCCCCCCAAACUGGUUCCAGCAAUUUCCUUGCUCGCCUCUGACCCUCUCCACUCCUUAGGGCUUAGGGCUUGCACCUUGGCUGCGUCCCUACCUGCACGGCCCCCCGAGCCCCCGGGGUGUUUUUCUCCCCCCUUUUUUCCUCUUCAUCCUUCCCUUCGCCAUUGCACAAUGGAGCACAUUGUGUCUGGGAGCCCCGGGACCUCUCCCUGGCUCUGGGGCUCGGUUUUGUCUCUGCCUUCAAAGACAGAAGGAAACUGCUGCUGAGCUGAGCCCGACAGCUGGCCCCAGCUGCUGCCGGACCGUGCAGGGGGUGCAGGGAAAGGGGGCAGCUGGUGCCUUCAGCAGCGAUGGGAAGGGCUGAGCCUGAGCCACGGACCCAGUUUUGGGGGUGUCUCUGCACUCCCACAGUCUGCCCCCUUUGCUGUUUGCAGGCACCCAUCCUCUUGGCCAUGACAUGCAAGCACAUCGUGUGAGCACCGCACCGUGUCAGGGACACAGGACAGCACCGGGGGCGUGAAAACGCUGGAGACGUUCUUGGUUCCUGUAUUACCCUGGGAAGAGCCAGGCUGGUCACAGCUCAGCCCCAAGCACCGCGUUUGCUGCCCUCCUCAAGAGAGGUGAGGAGAAGAAAUAGGGUGCCCGAAGCUAAAUACGGGGCUGAGGGGUCCUCCAUGGCUGAAGCAGCGGCUGCGGGGAGGAGACAGCCGGGCAGCCACCCCUAUAGAUGCUGCUAUACUCCUCCAGGUUCCUGCAUAUACAUUUCCACUGCUGUCUGCCUGCGCUGGAGUGGGAACGUGCUUCCGUAGGGAUUAAUGGGCUGUGAGGAACAGGGCAGCUCUCACCGUGCCGUCGCGGUCCCAGCCCGAGCCCCAUGCCGGCAGUGCUCCAGCAGCUUCUCCGAAACAUCCCAGCUCAAAGCAAUUUUACAACAAGCCUUCACUUCCAGGGAGUCUGACCUUUUCAUUAAUAAAUCAGCUGUGUUAUUGAACGUAUGAAUAAUGCAUGAUCACACCCA